GAUGAUACGCGAGGAACCUUACCAGGGCUUAAAUGUAGUCUGACAGGUCUGGAAACAGACUUUUCUUCGGACAGAUUACAAGGCGCUGCAUGGUUGUCGUCAGCUCGUGCCGUGAGGUGUCAGGUUAAGUCCUAUAACGAGCGCAACCCCUGUGGUUAGUUGCCAGCGAGUAAUGUCGGGAACUCUAGCCAGACUGCCGGUGCAAACCGCGAGGAAGGUGGGGAUGACGUCAAAUCAUCACGGCCCUUACGUCCUGGGCCACACACGUGCUACAAUGGUAGGGACAGAGAGCAGCCACUUCGCGAGAAGGAGCGAAUCUACAAACCCUAUCACAGUUCGGAUCGCAGUCUGCAACUCGACUGCGUGAAGCUGGAAUCGCUAGUAAUCGCAUAUCAGCCAUGAUGCGGUGAAUACGUUCCCGGGCCUUGUACACACCGCCCGUCAAGCCAUGGAAGCCGGGGGUACCUGAAGUCGGUCACCGCAAGGAGCCGCCUAGGGUAAAACUGGUAACUGGGGCUAAGUCGUAACAAGGUAACCGUA
rnacentral:rRNA from 1 species